CCUACGGGCCGCACCAGUGGGGAAUAUUGCACAAUGGGCGCAAGCCUGAUGCAGCUAUGCCGCGUGUAUGAAGAAGGCCUUAGGGUUGUAAAGUACUUUCAGUUGGGAGGAAGGCGUUGAUGCUAAUAUCAUCAACGAUUGACGUUACCAACAGAAGAAGCACCGGCUAACUCCGUGCCAGCAGCCGCGGUAAUACGGAGGGUGCAAGCGUUAAUCGGAAUUACUGGGCGUAAAGCGCACGCAGGCGAUUGAUUAAGUUAGAUGUGAAAUCCCCGGGCUUAACCUGGGAAUGGCAUCUAAGACUGGUCAGCUAGAGUCUUGUAGAGGGGGGUAGAAUUCCAGGUGUAGCGGUGAAAUGCGUAGAGAUCAGGAGGAAUACCGGUGGCGAAGGCGGCCCCCUGGACAAAGACUGACGCUCAGGUGCGAAAGCGUGGGGAGCAAACAGGAUUAGAUACCCCUGUAGUC
rnacentral:rRNA from 1 species